rnacentral:rRNA from 1 species
GAUGAACGCUGGCGGCGUGCCUAAUACAUGCAAGUCGAGCGAACGGACGAGAAGCUUGCUUCUCUGAUGUUAGCGGCGGACGGGUGAGUAACACGUGGAUAACCUCCCUAUAAGACUGGGAUAACUUCGGGAAACCGUAGCUAAUACCGGAUAAUAUUUUGAACCGCAUGGUUCAAAAGUGAAAGACGGUCUUGCUGUCACUUAUAGAUGGAUCCGCGCUGCAUUAGCUAGUUGGUAAGGUAACGGCUUACCAAGGCAACGAUGCAUAGCCGACCUGCGAGGGGGAUAGGCCACACUGGAACUGAGACACGGUCAAGACUCCUACGGGAGGCAGCAGUAGGGAAUCUUCCGCAAUGGGCGAAAGCCUGACGGAGCAACGCCGCGUGAGUGAUGAAGGUCUUCGGAUCGUAAAACUCUGUUAUUAGGGAAGAACAUAUGUGUAAGUAACUGUGCACAUCUUGACGGUACCUAAUCAGAAAGCCACGGCUAACUACGUG